rfam:Tupaia chinensis contig168101, whole genome shotgun sequence.
CUUACCAUGUGCUAAAGUAAGCAACCGCUGGCCUCCAGCGAGACUGAUGGGUUAAUACGGACGGAGGAGGGGUGAGGGUGUGGGACAGGGUGGGGAGACUUAGGGGACCAGGACUUCGGUGAGGCCCCAGAAAGCUCCCAGGAGCGGCCUCCGACCCUGCCUGGGAGGGAGGGGUUGGAGGAGGAUUCCUGGAAGAAGGAGGACCUAAGCUGGGUGUUUCUAUUUUUAAUUUUUAUUGGUUUCCUAAAACAUAAAAGU